rnacentral:rRNA from 1 species
UAUCUCUGUAGAGUCUGCAUAUCAAUAAGCGGAGGAAAAGAAACUAACAAGGAUUCCCCUAGUAACGGCGAGUGAAGCGGGAAGAGCUCAAAUUUGAAAUCUUCGAGGUUAUACCUUGACGAAUUGUAGUUUAAAGAAGUGUUUUCGGUUAGAGGAGUAGUAAAAGUUCUUUGGAAUAGGACAUCAUAGAGGGUGAGAAUCCCGUAUUUGACUAUUCUUUCUAGCUUUGUGAUACACUUUCAAAGAGUCGGAUUGUUUGGGAAUGCAGUCCAAAAUGGGUGGUAAAUUUCAUCUAAAGCUAAAUAUUGGCGAGAGACCGAUAGCGAACAAGUACCGUGAGGGAAAGAUGAAAAGAACUUUGAAAAGAGAGUUAAACAGUACGUGAAAUUGUCAAAAGGGAAGCGUUUGACACCAGUGUUGUUUUUCCGAAAAUCAAUUAAAAAUUGAUUCAUGCCAGGUUGUAUUGACCUUAUCAGCUUGCAAUUUGGUUUUGGGUCUCUUUUUGAUGCACUUUUCGGUUAACAAGUCAACAUCAAUUUCCUUUGCUGUAAAAAGGUAAGAGGAAGGUGGCUUCAAUUUCGGUUGAAGUGUUUAUAGCCUUUUAUCUCUGCAGUCGGGGAGAUUGAGGUCUGCAGCGUAGAUCCUUCGGGGCUAGAUACAUUUAUGCUAAGUUAUAGCUUUUCAUAGACAACUUGUUGACUAUGUUUAGUCAUGUAGCUUACUCGUAAGUGCUAUUUUACCUACGCUUAGGAUGUUGAGCGCAUGUCUCUCUCU